rnacentral:rRNA from 1 species
CCUACGGGUGGCUGCAGUGGGGAAUAUUGGACAAUGGGGGCAACCCUGAUCCAGCCAUGCCGCGUGUGUGAAGAAGGCCCUCGGGUUGUAAAGCACUUUCAGUGAGGAAGAACGCCUGGUGGUUAAUACCCAUCAGGAAAGACAUCACUCACAGAAGAAGCACCGGCUAACUCCGUGCCAGCAGCCGCGGUAAUACGGAGGGUGCGAGCGUUAAUCGGAAUUACUGGGCGUAAAGCGCGCGUAGGUGGCUUGAUAAGCCGGUUGUGAAAGCCCCGGGCUCAACCUGGGAACGGCAUCCGGAACUGUCAAGCUAGAGUGCAGGAGAGGAAGGUAGAAUUCCCGGUGUAGCGGUGAAAUGCGUAGAGAUCGGGAGGAAUACCAGUGGCGAAGGCGGCCUUCUGGACUGACACUGACACUGAGGUGCGAAAGCGUGGGUAGCAAACAGAAUUAGAUACCCGAGUAGUC